UUUAGCAUUUGGCUUACGCGCCAUGAUGCCGUUGCCUACCGCAUGCAGCAGGUGGGUUUUACCGAGACCGGUGCCGCCAUA
rfam:Erwinia sp. EM595 isolate E_g_EM595 genome assembly, chromosome: 1